rnacentral:lncRNA from 1 species
AGCCAGCAAAAUUUAGCGUUUCAUUUGAUAGGCUAAUGACGCCCUUAUCGUAGCAAUAAAUCAAUUAAUUCCCUCGAGUCCCUCCCAGCUUCUUCUGGAUAAUUUACGAAACAUAAAAAAAAAUGCCAAUGCAGAAGCAGGCAAGAAGGUAUGGGUCAGGUGGGAUGUUCUUUUUGGUUCUGUAAAUUGUCAAGUCAUGAAGAUAAAAGUAUGGCCCUACACUAUGGACCAUGGGACGAUUAAAUUUUUGGUGCAUUCACACGUUGACAUAGUUAGUUAAUUCCCUCACCAGCUACAUGGUAACAUGCUACUACAACGUAAGAAGCAAUCAAGACUUGUAUUUCCUUUGCAAUCUUCACCACAAAAGGAAGGAACAAAUAGAAGCCUUAUACUUAGCUUUGAAGGAAUUCCCCUUUCUUACUUAAUGAAAUCUCCACUACUAAAAGCUACUACAACUUAAGAAGUGACAUAUGAGUCAUAAUAUUCAAGUCUCACCUCUAUUCAGUCAUGCACAUGUUAGCCCGCAGUCUUAAAAAGUAACGGGACCCUCCCAAAUAUUUCAGUGACAAUUAAAGAAAAAUUCCCCCUUUUUUUGACCUGGAGUACUAUUUUGAUACUACUAGUAUAUAUAGACACAAAAUCUCAUGAUAUGCUUAAAAAGUGGUCAUCGGUGAGUUUGUCCGUUCACUGCCACUAAACGUAAUUUGGAGCACCAUAUAUAAUGCAUGAUUGGGUUAUUGAAAGUACAUGAAAGAAAACUGGGUAGUACUACUAGAGAUCUUACCAAAGGUGGCAGACCUAUACGUGGUCCAUCCAUCGAUAAAGCUUCGAUUGCCGGAUAUAACGGUAACAUCCAUGCCAUCUCCGAUCAGCAUUAUAUUCGGUUUCUUCUUGCUGAUCUCAAUAUACUCUUUGUAGACACCCUUUUUGAUGUAUAUCACGAACCUUUUUGCACUUUGUUCAGGGGCUGCGCUGAUCGCAUCAUUGACGCUAGUGAAUUUCCCUGUGCCAUCUUGAGCCACUACUACAUCGGCUUGGACCCCAUUAGCCUGAAGGAGUUUUC